rnacentral:rRNA from 1 species
CCUACGGGUGGCAGCAGUGGGGAAUAUUGGGCAAUGGGCGCAAGCCUGACCCAGCAACGCCGCGUGAAGGAAGAAGGCUCUCCGGUUGUAAACUUCCUUUAUCAGGGACGAAGCAAGUGACGGUACCUGAUGAAUAAGCCACGGCUAACUAUGUGCCAGCAGCCGCGGUAAUACGGAGGUGGCAAGCGUUAUCCGGAUUUACUGGGUGUAAAGGGAGUGUAGGCGGGAGUGCAAGUCAGAUGUGAAAAUUAUGGGCUCAACCCAUAGCCUGCAUUUGAAACAGGAAUUCUUGAGUGCUGGAGAGGCAGUCGGAAUUCGGGGUGUAGCGGUGAAAUGCGUAGAUAUACGGAGGAACACCAGUUGCGAAGGCGGAUUGCUAGACAGUCACUGACGCUGAGGCGCGAAAGCGUGGGGAGCAAACAGGAUUAGAUACCCCAGUAGUC